CCUACUAGUAUCCGUGGGGGUCCAUAGGGGUUCCGCUACCCGUUAACCUUUAACAUUCAUAAUCAGUUUCCAGGACCGUCCCCAUACCCCGUCCGGUAUGGGCGCCAAAACCAUAAACCUCAAUACCCCGUCCGGUAUGAGGGUGAAACGGGCCGUCCCCAUACCCCGUCCGGUAUGGGCGCCAAAACCAUAAACCUCAAUACCCCGUCCGGUAUGAGGGUGAAACGGGCCGUCCCCAUACCCCGUCCGGUAUGGGCGCCAAAACCAUAAGAUCUCCAUACCCCGUCCGGCAUGUGAGACCACAAUCCCGGUAGGGUUCCCUACGGACCCGGUCCGUCCACCAUCUCCCAGGAUAUCUAGUCAGGCUGACCCCAUCAUACAAUUAUCAGUCUACACAAUCUUUCAUUUUCCUUUUCCUCAAUAAGCAUCAUCAAUUCACAUACAAACAAGCAAACAGUAGUUCAUGCCAAACAGACAACAUACAGUAUCAGUUCUUCAGUCAUUCAACCCAUAAUUAAUAAAACAGUAAUAUAUGCAUUCGAAAUUAUAAAAUGAACACAUCAAACCCCAUAAUGCAUUUAAAGCUGUAAAACAGUGUAAAACAUGCCAAACAACAGUAAAUCAUUAAUCACACUAGACUCGGGCUCCAUUAGCAACCUUAAGCAAUUUCACACAUGCGUUAAUUCAAGAAAUACCGUUUUAUCAUUUUGAACUUUAAUACCGUGAUAGGAAAUAGAGUGAGGGGUCCUUACCUGUUUUCGGGAUCCGAAUACGAUUCACAGUGCGCCUGCAGGCUGUCCCUAAUUUUCCCCUGAAUUUUUCCCGGGGAACUGAAACACGCUCACAGUACCUGCACGGGUUCCAAAAAAAAAUCCAAAUUAGGCCCAGGGCCUCUUUCGGCCCAAAUCGCAACUCCGGCACGGCGGCUCCGCCGUGCUCCGGCGACGGCGCCGCCGCUGGCGGCGGCGAGUCGCCUCGGGUUGACUGUUUUCGGCCGUUUUUGGCCGAAUUCGGCCACACUCGCAUUGGUCCUUGUCAGAAAACAACCCUAGGGCCCUCGGGGGGCCAAAAAAUCACGGAAAAACGGAGCUUACCGGCGGCGGCGCUCUCGGGUACGGCGACUCUCCGGCGAAGUUCGUGUUUUGGUGAUUUGGCUUCGGUCAACCUGUAGAGAAAAGAAUGGUGAUCACGGUGAUAUAAGAAUUGCAUCGAACGGAGGCCGGGAAGGGCCUCGUCGGAGGCAAAAACCGAGAGGGGGCGCGGCGGUGCCGCUGGGCUUCGGCCGCGUAUUCCGGCCGUUUGGCCGGGAUUUCGGCUUCGAUUUGGCCAUAGGAGGAAUCAGUGGGGAAAAACGAGUCGGGGGUAUGAAAUUUACCUCGAUCGGCGGUCAGAAAUUUCCCCGGUGCGGCGGCGAGUGGCGGCGGGUGGCGGCGGUCGGCCUCUGGUUCGUCUUCUCCGGCGAGCGGCUGGCGGCUAGGGUUUGUGGUCUGGUGUGGAGGUUCUAUUUAUAACUCCUUGCCUUUUGAUCACAGCCGUUCAUUUUGUUUUAAUCUGGGCC
rnacentral:lncRNA from 1 species